UGCUUGCGCACCGUGUUUUCUUGAGUCGCGAACGGGUGAGUAACGCGUAGGUAACCUGCCUAUUAGCGGGGGAUAACUAUUGGAAACGAUAGCUAAUACCGCAUAAUAUUAAUUAUUGCAUGAUAAUUGAUUGAAAGAUGCAAGCGCAUCACUAGUAGAUGGACCUGCGUUGUAUUAGCUAGUUGGUAAGGUAAGAGCUUACCAAGGCGACGAUACAUAGCCGACCUGAGAGGGUGAUCGGCCACACUGGGACUGAGACACGGCCCAGACUCCUACGGGAGGCAGCAGUAAGGAAUCUUCGGCAAUGGACGAAAGUCUGACCGAGCAACGCCGCGUGAGUGAAGAAGGUUUUCGGAUCGUAAAGCUCUGUUGUAAGUCAAGAACGUGUGUGAGAGUGGAA
rnacentral:rRNA from 1 species